rnacentral:rRNA from 1 species
AGAGAUCUGGAGGAAUACCGGUGGCGAAGGCGGCCCCCUGGACAAAGACUGACGCUCAGGUGCGAAAGCGUGGGGAGCAAACAGGAUUAGAUACCCUGGUAGUCCACGCCGUAAACGAUGUCUACUUGGAGGUUGUGCCCUUGAGGCGUGGCUUCCGGAGCUAACGCGUUAAGUAGACCGCCUGGGGAGUACGGCCGCAAGGUUAAAACUCAAAUGAAUUGACGGGGGCCCGCACAAGCGGUGGAGCAUGUGGUUUAAUUCGAUGCAACGCGAAGAACCUUACCUGGUCUUGACAUCCACAGAACU